AAAUUGAAGAGUUUGAUCAUGGCUCAGAUUGAACGCUGGCGGCAGGCCUAACACAUGCAAGUCGAACGGUAACAGGAAGCAGCUUGCUGCUUCGCUGACGAGUGGCGGACGGGUGAGUAAUGUCUGGGAAACUGCCUGAUGGAGGGGGAUAACUACUGGAAACGGUGGCUAAUACCGCAUAACGUCGCAAGACCAAAGAGGGGGACCUUCGGGCCUCUUGCCAUCAGAUGUGCCCAGAUGGGAUUAGCUAGUUGGUGAGGUAACGGCUCACCAAGGCGACGAUCCCUAGCUGGUCUGAGA
rnacentral:rRNA from 1 species